UCCCUGGUGGCUCAGACGGUAAAGCGUCUGCCUGCAAUGCGGGAGACCCGGGUUCGAUUCCUGGGUUGGGAA
rfam:TPA: Bos taurus chromosome 4, whole genome shotgun sequence.